ensembl:lncRNA
AUACACAGGAGACAGGGAGCUGAUCCCCAACAUAGUUCCGCUGCACAGUUUUUAUUCCAUCAGUGUGAAGUUAGUCAGGUCCUGACCACUCUCAUCCUCGAGCAUAUCAUCACACAGUUGCCCCUGCAACUGCUUCAGUAAAGCAGACUAAGAUCUACAUGGAGCCUCAUCCUGUCUUCAGAUACUCCCCUUUGCAGUUUGUACAGAUUAAACCAUGUCUUGUAAUUCUGGAGAAGAUGAAACUCCCACUGAACUUGUAAUGGACAGCCCUGAAGACACAUGCAGUAACCACUGAGUCUCAUCCAAGAGAGCAGGGAAGUUCCUGGAAUGUAGGCCAGUCAUUUCAAUCUAACAAAAAACAGGACAGAUGCCACGUCGCUGGUUUACUGCUGUGCAGCUCCUCCAGCUUAUACAAACUGAACAUCAUCACAGGAAGGAACAGACUUCAUAAUAAUACGAAGUUCUAUGCCAUUUAAUUCAAACCACUUUACAAAUACCAUUUAAAAAAUAAAACCUGAGCGACAAAAGCAAAUUAUAGACAGGACUGCCUCACUUCUAGAGAAAUGCAGCUGACAUUACACCACAAUCCAAAGCCAAGAAAAGGACUGGCUAUCAAGCCAGCUUGGAACUACAUUCGACAGCUGAAGUUUAAUAUUUGCAGUUACGAGAACUAUUUCUGAAAAUAUUUCAGGUAUUUUAUAUCAUUUGUUGUAAAUCAUUGAUAUUCUUCUGACCAUAUACACAGAAAAAUCUGUAGUCUCUGAAGAAAGGAAAGCCUCUGAACUUUACAAACGUGGAGACAGAUGAACAAAUCUUUGCAACUACCAUUUCCAUGAGUGUGACGUCCAGUAUGUUGUCAUACACAGCUUAACUUGCUAACUCAAGAAAAGGGAAGCUUUCAGUUGUAAAAACACAAACUAAAAGUCAGAACAGACACACCUCCGAUUAUUGAAUUAUUUGGUAAACAGUGGGUUGGGUGACAUUUGCCAACUGAAGAGCAACUGGCAUAAAACAGUACUCACAAUUUAAGAGAUUAUGUUUAAGAAACCAGGAGGGUCUUCUGUCACUAUCUACAUCCUGACCAGGCAAUGGUGUGAGCAGACAGGCAGAAAUCAGUUUAUUCACGGACAGCUGUUCUUUAUCAGCUUCAUCUGAAUGCUCACAUAAACAACAUGUAGAAUUAUGAUAGACAUACACAAAGACAAUACCCCAAUAUUUCACUUACAAACUAAAGUUUUGCUGGUUUGAAAUAUAUUAGCAAUAGGUAUAUAUAUUUUAAUACUAACAGUCUACUCUGUGCUGAGACUAACAAAACUUCAGACCUUAUGCAAGGAAACUUAGAGUCAAGGACACACCAAGAACUUCCACACAAAUCUAUGCUUACAGAUCUUAUUGCAGAAGCAAGGUUGGAGAUGGCAGUCAAAUCUAAGAAAACAAAGUUAGAUAGGUAUUUAGAGGAACGGGAAAGAAGACUAAGGCACUUCCUGCACUGUGCAUUCUCUCACAAUCAUUUAACACUAUUGCACAACUGCAGAGUUGCAUCUGCAACCAGAACAAAAACAUUUAGCACUCUCAGCAUGUAUUUCAGUGCAAAAAGCAAUACAAAACCCAGUGCUAUCACCAGUUUAUAUAAUCUAAACACAGUUAAUAUUCCCACAGAGAAACAAAGUCCAAAGAAAUGAAUACAUCAUCUAAAAUCCUUGCGCUGACCCAUAGUCCCCAGCUUAGUGCUGAUCAUUGAAAUGCCUAGUAAAUACGUAGAGUUAACACAUCAGUGCUGAUGAGAGAGUUAAUAACUUCUUAAGUUACAGCGUCACACUGCCUCCAAACUCAGGCAGGCAUUGACACUACCUGAUGUUUGGUAUUUUUCCCACAGCUCUUUACAGUAUAAAAGCAGGGUUUUGCUUUGAUUAGAUUCUUCCAGAGCACAGUUCCAUAUGAAUGGAUGCAUAUUUUAACUAAAGAUGACAUGGAGUCCCAUCUGCUUUGUUGUAUUUUUCUGUAAAUGCUGAUCCUGCUGAUCUGUUAAGGGACAAACACAAACAUCUUUCUUUACUAAAUGUAGUAACUAUGGAUUACGCCUUCCUAACUUGAUCAGUUAUAGCUCCAUUUCUCUCUUCCAACUGAAAAUUUCCAUAAAGAUGCAGAAAUACUCAGAUACAUAAUUUAAAGAGAAGUCUUAAGAACCAUUAGGUUUAUUUCCAGGCAAAGAUGGCUCCCAGUUGUUUUCCUUGCACAGUCAUCUUUCCCUAGUUAUCUUCAGCAUGCAUAAUAGACACUACUCCUUUCUUUUACUUGAUUCUAUAUGGAUGCACUGAAUCCUUAAAAUGCAUCCAGUCACAAUACAGUAGUUUUGGGGGAAGAAUUUGUCAGAAAAAAUGUCAUCUGUAUUUGCAGUGCUCUAUAAAUGAAGAUAUCACCAAUCCGAUACACUCUAGGUCAACUCUUCUUUUCUUUGGUGGUCACUUUUCAGCAACUGAAAUCACAAGGCAUAAAGUCAAUAGAUAUUUGAGCUAUUUAAAUAGCUCAAAGGAUAAAGGUCAUGCCUCUGAUGCAAUUUAUCUUUACAGGAAGCCACUCAAAUCUUGGAAACCACUACCUUGGAGAUAGCAGAUUCUGGGGGUUGUAUAGAUAAGAGGCCAAGCAGAUGCCAAGCAGCUACACGUGCCCUGUUUUAGCUUUGUAAAUAGUCUCAGGCAAGAGAACAGCUGGGAAUGCUGUGUUCCAUCUUGGGCUUGGAUUACCAUCUUUACAACCAGAACAAGACUAGUGUACCCUCUCAGAAGAAAGCUCAGAACAGGACAAUAGCAACUCUCCCACACAAAAGAUGCAGCAUUUUCAGCAGCACUGAUGAUGUUCUAAGCCUCAACCGGCAUUAAUGACUUUAGAAAGAACUGUUCACACUGUUACAUUGAAUUUGAUCUCCACUACAUUUGACAUGAGUUACGAGGUCCAUGCAUGCAUAUUUAGUUGGAAUUCAUGUUUCUCUCAGCCCUUUUCUGCCCAGCAUCCCAAGGGAAAUGAGACUUCUCUGACUCUUUAAGACAAAAAGCUCUGCGUAAAUGCUAAGUCAGUCACUCCAGGCUAUACCCUGCAAGAUGCAUAAAAAAGCAGAAGUACCAAGUACAUCGUUCUAACUGUUAGGUGAUCCUUAUGCAACAUUGUCCAGGUAUUUGUGAGCGGGGAAAGGCCUAAAAGAAGGUCCUCCCUUAACUUUUUUUUCCUGCCUAAGAAGUAACAUGAGCUUUUGCAAUAACACAAACCAGUGCUGUGCCCUGACAGCAAAUCGUAGUGGUCUAUAGAGCUUUUACACAUCCUUGAAACAAUGGCUCUCUCUGCUGGUGCCUUAACGUGUGGUACCACAGGACAGCUCUGCAGAGAAAAGCACUGAACACCCACAGCAGAAUAGCUUGCUUGUUUCAAUGAAAAUUCUGCUCCUUCCUCUCUGGGUCUGAGGUUCCCACUUUUAGGAAGCAAGUCCCUUAAAUACACAGUGGAAAGAUUAUCUACUGCUGCUUACUUCUACAGUUUAACCUUACGUUUUAGCUGAUGCCAGCAAAAAAAGUCUCCUAGGGCUGCAUCAGGAAGUGAGAGCACUAUUUUACAGAUCAUCUUGCCCUCUUUUUUUUUUUAAAAAAAAACAAACAAUGAAUUUCCUAGGAUUAUAGGUCAGAAAAUGGGCAAUAUUGAUCUAGCAGCUCCAGUGUGGCUCAUAGGUUACCUGGAACUUUUUAUUAAUUAAGAAAGUCCCAUUACUACUGCUGGCUGCUAACAGAUUUCAGGGGGAAAAAAAAUUGUAUUAUUGUAAUUUUUGCCUGUAGAAAGUCUUUAAUGACAAACUUAAACAUGAAGAGUUGUUUCAUUAAUUUUGACUUGCGCCUCAAUUCCCAAUUGGAGCACAGUGCCAGUAGCUCUUAUUUAAGCUAAGUCAUUCUUUUCACCACCUUAGACAUUAAGAAUGUAUAAGACUAGCAGAAAUCCAUAACACUUGCCAGAAGAGACUAACAACAAGUCACAAAUUUCUCUUGGGGUGAGGCAGUUAAAAAACCAUAACCACUUCUUCAGAAAGUCAAAUUUCGAACUUAAGCUAUUCUCUCAUCCAUGGUUUGGCUACUUCUUCGCUGAGACCAAUGGCACUGAGCCGCAGCUGCAGCACAGAUGUUCAGAGGAAAACUAUUCUGAAUAAAACAGCCCUGCCCAGCCUGACCAAGAUCUGGU